AGCAGUGUAGCAUAACUGGCAAUGCUCCAGCCUCUGAAGCUGAACGAUUAAGGUUCAAAUCCUUACGCUGCUGCCA
rnacentral:tRNA from 1 species